rnacentral:rRNA from 1 species
CAGAUGUGUAUAAGAGACAGGGUUGUAGGACACUCUAUACGGAGUUACAAAAGAACAUGUUAGACGAAUCAUCUGGAAAGAUGAAUCAAAGAAGGUAAUAAUCCUGUAGUCGAAAACAUAUUCUCUCUUGAGUGGAUCCUGAGUACGACGGAGCACGUGAAAUUCCGUCGGAAUCUGGGAGGACCAUCUCCUAAGGCUAAAUACUCUCUAGUGACCGAUAGUGAACCAGUACCGUGAGGGAAAGGUGAAAAGUACCCCGGAAGGGGAGUGAAAGAGAACUUGAAACCGUGUGCUUACAAGUAGUCAGAGCCCGUUAAUGGGUGAUGGCGUGCCUUUUGUAGAAUGAACCGGCGAGUUACGAUCUGAUGCAAGGUUAAGCAGCAAAUGUGGAGCCGCAGCGAAAGCGAGUCUGAAUAGGGCGUUGAGUAUUUGGUCGUAGACCCGAAACCAGGUGAUCUACCCUUGGUCAGGUUGAAGUUCAGGUAACACUGAAUGGAGGACCGAACCGACUUACGUUGAAAAGUGAGCGGAUGAACUGAGGGUAGCGGAGAAAUUCCAAUCGAACUUGGAGAUAGCUGGUUCUCUCCGAAAUAGCUUUAGGGCUAGCCUCAAGUGAUGAUUAUUGGAGGUAGAGCACUGUUUGGACGAGGGGCCCCUCUCGGGUUACCGAAUUCAGACAAACUCCGAAUGCCAAUUAAUUUAACUUGGGAGUCAGAACAUGGGUGAUAAGGUCCGUGUUCGAAAGGGAAACAGCCCAGACCACCAGCUAAGGUCCCAAAAUAUAUGUUAAGUGGAAAAGGAUGUGGCGUUGCCCAGACAACUAGGAUGUUGGCUUAGAAGCAGCCAUCAUUUAAAGAGUGCGUAAUAGCUCACUAGUCGAGUGACACUGCGCCGAAAAUGUACCGGGGCUAAACAUAUUACCGAAGCUGUGGAUUGUCCUUUGGACAAUGGUAGGAGAGCGUUCUAAGGGCGUCGAAGCAUGAUCGCAAGGACAUGUGGAGCGCUUAGAAGUGAGAAUGCCGGUGUGAGUAGCGAAAGACGGGUGAGAAUCCCGUCCACCGAUUGACUAAGGUUUCCAGAGGAAGGCUCGUCCGCUCUGGGUUAGUCGGGUCCUAAGCUGAGGCCGACAGGCGUAGGCGAUGGAUAACAGGUUGAUAUUCCUGUACCACCUAGUAUCGUUUUAAUCGAUGGGGGGACGCAGUAGGAUAGGCGAAGCGUGCUGUUGGAGUGCACGUCCAAGCAGUAAGGCUGAGUGUUAGGCAAAUCCGGCACUCAUAAGGCUGAGCUGUGAUGGGGAGAGGAAAUUGUUUCCUCGAGUCGUUGAUUUCACACUGCCGAGAAAAGCCUCUAGAUAGAUAACAGGUGCCCGUACCGCAAACCGACACAGGUAGUCAAGAUGAGAAUUCUAAGGUGAGCGAGCGAACUCUCGUUAAGGAACUCGGCAAAAUGACCCCGUAACUUCGGGAGAAGGGGUGCUCUUUAGGGUUCACGCCCAGAAGAGCCGCAGUGAAUAGGCCCAAGCGACUGUUUAUCAAAAACACAGGUCUCUGCUAAACCGUAAGGUGAUGUAUAGGGGCUGACGCCUGCCCGGUGCUGGAAGGUUAAGAGGAGUGGUUAGCUUCUGCGAAGCUACGAAUCGAAGCCCCAGUAAACGGCGGCCGUAACUAUAACGGUCCUAAGGUAGCGAAAUUCCUUGUCGGGUAAGUUCCGACCCGCACGAAAGGCGUAACGAUUUGGGCACUGUCUCAACGAGAGACUCGGUGAAAUCAUAGUACCUGUGAAGAUGCAGGUUACCCGCGACAGGACGGAAAGACCCCGUGGAGCUUUACUGUAGCCUGAUAUUGAAAUUCGGCACAGCUUGUACAGGAUAGGUAGGAGCCUUUGAAACGUGAGCGCUAGCUUACGUGGAGGCGUUGGUGGGAUACUACCCUAGCUGUGUUGGCUUUCUAACCCGCACCACUUAUCGUGGUGGGAGACAGUGUCAGGCGGGCAGUUUGACUGGGGCGGUCGCCUCCUAAAAGGUAACGGAGGCGCUCAAAGGUUCCCUCAGAAUGGUUGGAAAUCAUUCAUAGAGUGUAAAGGCAUAAGGGAGCUUGACUGCGAGACCUACAAGUCGAGCAGGGUCGAAAGACGGACUUAGUGAUCCGGUGGUUCCGCAUGGAAGGGCCAUCGCUCAACGGAUAAAAGCUACCCCGGGGAUAACAGGCUUAUCUCCCCCAAGAGUUCACAUCGACGGGGAGGUUUGGCACCUCGAUGUCGGCUCAUCGCAUCCUGGGGCUGUAGUCGGUCCCAAGGGUUGGGCUGUUCGCCCAUUAAAGCGGUACGCGAGCUGGGUUCAGAACGUCGUGAGACAGUUCGGUCCCUAUCCGUCGUGGGCGUAGGAAAUUUGAGAGGAGCUGUCCUUAGUACGAGAGGACCGGGAUGGACAUACCUCUGGUGUACCAGUUGUCGUGCCAACGGCAUAGCUGGGUAGCUAUGUAUGGACGGGAUAAGUGCUGAAAGCAUCUAAGCAUGAAGCCCCCCUCAAGAUGAGAUUUCCCAACUUCGGUUAUAAGAUCCCUCGAAGAUGACGAGGUUAAUAGGUUCGAGGUGGAAGCGUGGUGACACGUGGAGCUGACGAAUACUAAUCGAUCGAAGACUUAAUC